UACGAAGGGAGCUAGCGUUGUUCGGAAUCACUGGGCGUAAAGCGCACGUAGGCGGAUUUGUAAGUCAGGGGUGAAAUCCCGGGGCUCAACCUCGGAACUGCCUUUGAUACUGCAAAUCUCGAGUCCGAUAGAGGUGGGUGGAAUUCCUAGUGUAGAGGUGAAAAUUCGUAGAUAUUAGGAAGAACACCGGUGGCGAAGGCGGCCCACUGGAUCGGUACUGACGCUGAGGUGCGAAAGCGUGGGGAGCAAACAGG
rnacentral:rRNA from 1 species